rnacentral:rRNA from 1 species
CGCCGCAAGGUUAAAACUCAAAUGAAUUGACGGGGGCCCGCACAAGCGGUGAGCAUGUGGUUUAAUUCGAAGCAACGCGAAGAACCUUCCUGGCCUUGACAUGCUGAGAACUUUCCAGAGAUGGAUUGGUGCUUCGGGAACUCAGACACAGGUGCUGCAUGGCUGUCGUCAGCUCGUGUCGUGAGAUGUUGGGUUAAGUCCCGUAACGAGCGCAACCCUUGUCCUUAGUUCCAGCACCUCGGGUGGGCACUCUAAGGAGACUGCCGGUGACAAACCGGAGGAAGGUGGGGAUGACGUCAAGUCAUCAUGCCCUUACGGCCAGGGCUACACACGUGCUACAAUGGUCGGUACAAAGGGUUCCAAGCCGCGAGGUGGAGCUAAUCCCAUAAAACCGAUCGUAGUCCGGAUCGCAGUCUGCAACUCGCUGCGUGAAGUCGGAAUCGCUAGUAAUCGUGAAUCAGAAUGUCACGGUGAA